rnacentral:rRNA from 1 species
AUUGAACGCUGGCGGCAGGCCUAACACAUGCAAGUCGAGCGGUGCGGCGGACGGGCGAGUAAUUCCUGAGCAUCUGCCUGGUCGUCGCGUAAAACGUCCGUAAACGUGCGCUAAUACCGCAUACGACCCUUUCAGCUUUGGUCGGAUUAGCUAGCUGCUGUGGUAAAGGCCUACCAAGGCGACGAUCCAUAACUGGUCUGAGAGGGUGAUCAGCCACACUGGAACUGAGACACGGCCCAGACUCCUACGGGAGGCAGCAGUGGGGAAUAUUGGGCAAUGGGCGAAAGCCUGAUCGAGCCAUGCCGCGUGUGUGAAGAAGGUCUUCGGAUUGUAAAGCUCUUUAAGUAGAGAGGCGUUACCAAAAGAGUAAGCAACGGCUAACUUCGUGCCAGCAGCCGCGGUAAUUC